rnacentral:rRNA from 1 species
GAUGAACGCUGGCGGCGUGCCUAAUACAUGCAAGUCGAGCGAACAGACGAGGGGCUUUCUCCUCUGACGUUAGCGGCGGACGGGUGAGUAACACGUGGAUAACCUACCUAUAAGACUGGGAUAACUUCGGGAAACCGGAGCUAAUACCGGAUAAUAUAUUGAACCGCAUGGUUCAAUAGUGAAAGACGGUUUUGCUGUCACUUAUAGAUGGAUCCGCGCCGCAUUAGCUAGUUGGUCAGGUAACGGCUUACCAAGGCAACGAUGCGUAGCCGACCUGAGAGGGUGAUCGGCCACACUGGAACUGAGACACGGUCCAGACUCCUACGGGAGGCAGCAGUAGGGAACCUUCCGCAAUGGGCGAAAGCCUGACGGAGCAACGCCGCGUGAGUGAUGAAGGUCUUCGGAUCGUAAAACUCUGUUAUUAGGGAAGAACAAAUGUGUAAGUAACUAUGCACGUCUUGACGGUACCUAAUCAGAAAGCCACGGCUAACUACGUG